rnacentral:rRNA from 1 species
AACGAACGCUGGCGGCAUGCCUAACACAUGCAAGUCGAACGAGACCUUCGGGUCUAGUAGCGCACGGGUGCGUAACGCGUGGGAAUCUGCCCUUGGGUUCGGAAUAACAGUUGGAAACGACUGCUAAUACCGGAUGAUGACGUAAGUCCAAAGAUUUAUCGCCCAGGGAUGAGCCCGCGUAGGAUUAGCUAGUUGGUGGGGUAAAGGCCUACCAAGGCGACGAUCCUUAGCUGGUCUGAGAGGAUGAUCAGCCACACUGGGACUGAGACACGGCCCAGACUCCUACGGGAGGCAGCAGUGGGGAAUAUUGGACAAUGGGCGAAAGCCUGAUCCAGCAAUGCCGCGUGAGUGAUGAAGGCCUUAGGGUUGUAAAGCUCUUUUACCCGGGAUGAUAAUGACAGUACCGGGAGAAUAAGCCCCGGCUAACUCCGUG